UGGGGAAUAUUGCACAAUGGGCGCAAGCCUGAUGCAGCCAUGCCGCGUGUAUGAAGAAGGCCUUCGGGUUGUAAAGUACUUUCAGCGAGGAGGAAGGCGUUGUGGUUAAUAACCGCAGCGAUUGACGUUACUCGCAGAAGAAGCACCGGCUAACUCCGUGCCAGCAGCCGCGGUAAUACGGCGGGCGCAAGCGUUCAUCGGAAUUACUGGGCGUAAAGCGCACGCAGGCGGUCUGUCAAGUCGGAUGUGAAAUCCCCGGGCUCAACCUGGGAACUGCAUCCGAAACUGGCAGGCUAGAGUCUUGUAGAGGGGGGUAGAAUUCCAGGUGUAGCGGUGAAAUGCGUAGAGAUCUGGAGGAAUACCGGUGGCGAAGGCGGCCCCCUGGACAAAGACUGACGCUCAGGUGCGAAAGCGUGGGGAGCAAACA
rnacentral:rRNA from 1 species